UGCUUUACACAUGCAAGUCGAACGGAGUUAAGGAGCUUGCUCUUUAAUUUAGUGGCGAACGGGUGAGUAAUAUAUCGGAACGUACCCGGCAAUGGGGGAUAACGUAGCGAAAGUUACGCUAAUACCGCAUAUGUCCUGAGGGGGAAAGCAGGGGACCAGUAAUGGCCUUGCGUUGUCGGAGCGGCCGAUAUCGGAUUAGCUAGUUGGUGAGGUAAAGGCUCACCAAGGCGACGAUCCGUAGCAGGUCUGAGAGGAUGAUCUGCCACACUGGGACUGAGACACGGCCCAGACUCCUACGGGAGGCAGCAGUGGGGAAUUUUGGACAAUGGGCGAAAGCCUGAUCCAGCCAUGCCGCGUGAGUGAAGAAGGCCUUCGGGUUGUAAAGCUC
rnacentral:rRNA from 1 species